AGCGGGGUAUUGCAGUUGGUAGAAAGGGAGUCUCAUAAGCUCCUAUGCGCGGGUUCGAGUCCCGCCCCCGCAA
rnacentral:tRNA from 1 species